rnacentral:rRNA from 1 species
AUUCAUGACUGGGGUGAAGUCGUAACAAGGUAACCGUAGGGGAACCUGCGGUUGGAUCACCUCCUUACCAAGAAG